CAACGUUAAUCGGGGCAGGGUGAGUCGACCCCUAAGGCGAGGCCGAAAGGCGUAGUCGAUGGGAAACAGGUUAAUAUUCCUGUACUUGGUGUUACUGCGAAGGGGGGACGGAGAAGGCUAUGUUGGCCGGGCGACGGUUGUCCCGGUUUAAGCGUGUAGGCUGGUUUUCCAGGCAAAUCCGGAAAAUCAAGGCUGAGGCGUGAUGACGAGGCACUACGGUGCUGAAGCAACAAAUGCCCUGCUUCCAGGAAAAGCCUCUAAGCAUCAGGUAACAUCAAAUCGUACCCCAAACCGACACAGGUGGUCAGGUAGAGAAUACCAAGGCGCUUGAGAGAACUCGGGUGAAGGAACUAGGCAAAAUGGUGCCGUAACUUCGGGAGAAGGCACGCUGAUAUGUAGGUGAAGUCCCUCGCGGAUGGAGCUGAAAUCAGUCGAAGAUACCAGCUGGCUGCAACUGUUUAUUAAAAACACAGCACUGUGCAAACACGAAAGUGGACGUAUACGGUGUGACGCCUGCCCGGUGCCGGAAGGUUAAUUGAUGGGGUUAGCGCAAGCGAAGCUCUUGAUCGAAGCCCCGGUAAACGGCGGCCGUAACUAUAACGGUCCUAAGGUAGCGAAAUUCCUUGUCGGGUAAGUUCCGACCUGCACGAAUGGCGUAAUGAUGGCCAGGCUGUCUCCACCCGAGACUCAGUGAAAUUGAACUCGCUGUGAAGAUGCAGUGUACCCGCGGCAAGACGGAAAGACCCCGUGAACCUUUACUAUAGCUUGACACUGAACAUUGAGCCUUGAUGUGUAGGAUAGGUGGGAGGCUUUGAAGUGUGGACGCCAGUCUGCAUGGAGCCGACCUUGAAAUACCACCCUUUAAUGUUUGAUGUUCUAACGUUGACCCGUAAUCCGGGUUGCGGACAGUGUCUGGUGGGUAGUUUGACUGGGGCGGUCUCCUCCUAAAGAGUAACGGAGGAGCACGAAGGUUGGCUAAUCCUGGUCGGACAUCAGGAGGUUAGUGCAAUGGCAUAAGCCAGCUUGACUGCGAGCGUGACGGCGCGAGCAGGUGCGAAAGCAGGUCAUAGUGAUCCGGUGGUUCUGAAUGGAAGGGCCAUCGCUCAACGGAUAAAAGGUACUCCGGGGAUAACAGGCUGAUACCGCCCAAGAGUUCAUAUCGACGGCGGUGUUUGGCACCUCGAUGUCGGCUCAUCACAUCCUGGGGCUGAAGUAGGUCCCAAGGGUAUGGCUGUUCGCCAUUUAAAGUGGUACGCGAGCUGGGUUUAGAACGUCGUGAGACAGUUCGGUCCCUAUCUGCCGUGGGCGCUGGAGAACUGAGGGGGGCUGCUCCUAGUACGAGAGGACCGGAGUGGACGCAUCACUGGUGUUCGGGUUGUCAUGCCAAUGGCACUGCCCGGUAGCUAAAUGCGGAAGAGAUAAGUGCUGAAAGCAUCUAAGCACGAAACUUGCCCCGAGAUGAGUUCUCCCUGACUCCUUGAGAGUCCUGAAGGAACGUUGAAG
rnacentral:rRNA from 1 species